rnacentral:rRNA from 1 species
AAACUCAGUAAUGAUUCUUCUGUAGGUGAAACCUGCGGAGGGAUCAUUACUGAGUUACCGCUCAUCAACCCUUUGUGAACAUACCUUAACUGUUGCUUCGGCGGGUAGGCGUCCCCUAAAAAGGACGUCUCCCGGCCCUCUCCCGUCCGCGGGUGGGGCGCCCGCCGGAGGAUAACCAAACUCUGAUUUAACGACGUUUCUUCUGAGUGACACAAGCAAAUAAUCAAAACUUUUAACAACGGAUCUCUUGGUUCUGGCAUCGAUGAAGAACGCAGCGAAAUGCGAUAAGUAAUGUGAAUUGCAGAAUUCAGUGAAUCAUCGAAUCUUUGAACGCACAUUGCGCCCGCCAGCAUUCUGGCGGGCAUGCCUGUUCGAGCGUCAUUUCAACCCUCAAGCUCUGCUUGGUGUUGGGGCUCUACGGUUGACGUAGGCCCUUAAAGGUAGUGGCGGACCCUCUCGGAGCCUCCUUUGCGUAGUAACAUUUCGUCUCGCAUUGGGAUUCGGAGGGACUCUAGCCGUAAAACCCCCAAUUUUACUAAGGUUGACGCUCGGAUCAGUCACGAAGGGCCCCCUGAAGGUUGA